UACGUAGGGGGCGAGCGUUGUCCGAAGUUACUGGGCGUAAAGCGCGCGUAGGCGGCUUCUUAAGUCUGGGGUGAAAGGUUCAACGCUCAACGUGAACAGUGCCUUGGAUACUGGGAAGCUUGAGUUCGGGAGGGGGCAGUGGAAUUCCGGGUGUAGCGGUGAAAUGCGUAGAUAUCCGGAGGAACACCGAUGGCGAAGGCAGCUGCCUGGCCUAGAACUGACGCUGAGGUGCGAAAGCGUGGGGAGCGAACGGG
rnacentral:rRNA from 1 species